UGAGGAAUCUUGGACAAUGGGGGCAACCCUGAUCCAGCCAUGCCGCGUGAACGAUGAAGGCCUUAGGGUUGUAAAGUUCUUUCAGCUGGGAAGAUAAUGACGGUACCAGCAGAAGAAGCCCCGGCUAACUCCGUGCCAGCAGCCGCGGUAAUACGGAGGGGGCUAGCGUUGUUCGGAAUUACUGGGCGUAAAGCGCGCGUAGGCGGAUUAGAAAGUUGGGGGUGAAAUCCCAGGGCUCAACCCUGGAACUGCCUCCAAAACUACUAGUCUAGAGUUCGAGAGAGGUGAGUGGAAUUCCGAGUGUAGAGGUGAAAUUCGUAGAUAUUCGGAGGAACACCAGUGGCGAAGGCGGCUCACUGGCUCGAUACUGACGCUGAGGUGCGAAAGCGUGGGGAGCAAACAGGAUUAGAUACC
rnacentral:rRNA from 1 species